UACAGAGGUCUCAAGCGUUGUUCGGAUUCAUUGGGCGUAAAGGGUGCGUAGGCGGCGCGGUAAGUCGGGUGUGAAAUCUUGGAGCUUAACUCCGAAACUGCAUUCGAUACUGCCGUGCUUGAGGACUGGAGAGGAGACUGGAAUUUACGGUGUAGCGGUGAAAUGCGUAGAUAUCGUAAGGAAGACCAGUGGCGAAGGCGGGUCUCUGGACAGUUCCUGACGCUGCGGCACGAAGGCCAGGGGAGCAAACGGG
rnacentral:rRNA from 1 species